AAGAGCUGGAGGACCUUUGAAGAAAGCAUAACAAAAAGGGAAGACUUUGGACACAGGUUAGAGAAGACCAGAGAGACACCAGAGAACACAGCAAGACACAAAGUAAAAUAGAAUAUUUGUUUUGUCCUUGAUAAUCCUUGUGGGCCCCUUCCAACUUGGCAUAUUCUCUGAUUCUGUGAAUUUAGGUCAUUCACAGGGAGGCCGAUACAGGUCUGUGAAAAAGUCUGUUGCCACCAGUAGUGUUGAUCCUUCUACACAAAAAAACUUCUAAGGAGCAAGCCUCCAGGGGCAUAUUGUAAAAGGAGUCUUUGUCUUGCAUGGUUUUAUGUUGGCAUUCAGUUUUGUUAUGUGGUAUUAGAUGUGAGUAUGCUUAUUUAAUGUUUAGGAUAGCAGUGCUUUAUUUCUAUGGACAUAUUCUGUGAAAAGGGGUGUUCCUUGUCUUUUGUCUAAAUAUUGGACACGUUUUUUGCUUGUUUGUUUGCUUUUGUUUGGUUUGGUUUUAGUUGUUUUGUUGUUGUUGCUUUCUAAUUCUUUUAUGCAACCUGGAAAUAAAACCAACUGUGUCACUUUACUAUUAAAAGCAUCUAGGUAGUAUGCUAUACAAGAUCAAAGAAUGUUUGUGAAUAAAGUAUUAGUCUCUUCUGCAGUGAUGAGAAUACUUAUAGACUUCAAGGUAGCAAGAGACAAGCGGUGGUGUCAGCAAGUGACCAAAUUGUAUGUUUUGUGGUCUUUACAAAUUGACAUGCAGAGCCAAAAUAUCACAAGCUGAAAUAAUGAAUAACCAAGAGGCUGAUGUUCUGCGUUGCUGGAGUUGUAGAAAAUACAUAGCAAAUUCUGUUUGCCUUGCCAAAUGCAAUGGAAAAGAACUAUCUGAAAGGAACAGAAAGUGAGUGUGAUUUUGGAGCUCAUGGACAAUCUUCUGCAAGUAUCAUUGCUGGUAGGUCACCAUUUGUGCUGAAACUUUCUUCACCUAUGAGGGCUGUAGAAGACAAAGAGUACCUCACACCUGUUGGUCUUGUGCAGCCUACAAGUAUUUCCUUCAACCAAAAGCUGAGAAAGAGAGAAAGAAGCCUGAGGAGAAAGCAAAGAAGGUGAGAACGAUGGCUACAGAACCAAGUAGGUGAUGAAAAUUGAUUAUCCUACUUUUUUUGGUAAAGU
rnacentral:lncRNA from 1 species